UCGCAAGAUUAAAACUCAAAGGAAUUGACGGGGGCCCGCACAAGCAGCGGAGCAUGUGGUUUAAUUCGAAGCAACGCGAAGAACCUUACCUAGACUUGACAUCUCCUGAAUUACUCUUAAUAGAGGAAGUCCCUUCGGGGACAGGAAGACAGGUGGUGCAUGGUUGUCGUCAGCUCGUGUCGUGAGAUGUUGGGUUAAGUCCCGCAACGAGCGCAACCCUUAUUGUUAGUUGCUACCAUUUAGUUGAGCACUCUAGCGAGACUGCCCGGGUUAACCGGGAGGAAGGUGGGGAUGACGUCAAAUCAUCAUGCCCCUUAUGUCUAGGGCUACACACGUGCUACAAUGGCUGGUACAGAGAGAUGCAAUACCGCGAGGUGGAGCCAAACUUCAAAACCAGUCUCAGUUCGGAUUGUAGGCUGAAACUCGCCUACAUGAAGCUGGAGUUGCUAGUAAUCGCGAAUCAGAAUGUCGCGGUGAAUACGUUCCCGGGCCUUGUACACACCGCCCGUCACACCAUGAGAGUUGGCAAUACCCAAAGUUCGUGAGCUAACGCGUAAGCGGGGCAGCGACCUAAGGUAGGGUCAGCGAUUGGGGUG
rnacentral:rRNA from 1 species